CUCUCUUUCAUUACAGACCACAUGAAAGCCAAAACAAUCCCAGGCUAUCAGGCACAGAAACCUUCACAAGGACACCGACAUCCCGCACCGGGGUAGGAGAGGAGUGCGGGGCCGGAGCUGCUGGCGUGCCAUAAGGAAGCGAUUGAAGCUUUCACAAUCUGUUUAACCAGUGACAUAUGUUUCCUGUAGGCACGGCGGUGUGCUGCGUGCUGAGGGCUCCUGGAACAGGGAACCGUGAGUGCUUCCCCAUAGCGCGAUGAAAAUCUCUCCUGCCUGAGACCACAGCAACUCGUUACACAUGGGAGCGGUCAGGCUGGUGAACAGUGCCGUGCACACAGCUGGGACAUGGAAGAGCCAUGUCUAUUGGCAUCAUCUGAAGCUAUUAGCUAAUUUGAAGCCAGGAGUUCACACGUUGCCUGGUCCCAUCCCGUCUCCCUGCAGCAGUAAGUAUGCACUCCUGGAGGGAGGCUGCCUGAAGUCACCCUCCUCAUCCUCCUCUGGUGGGGAAGAGGUGACAGCACAUCCCCACCAGCCCGGUGGGACAGGGGCAUGGAGCUUUCUGCUCCUCCCUGGUGCCUCAUCCUGGGAUUUACAGCUCCAGUUGAGAUCAGCUGAAACCUGAUGACAACGCCUGACAUGUCUGCAGUGCCCGCGUCCCUGCUGCUCACCCCCACUUCGCUAAUGAGCUUUGCUCAGAGGUGUGCUUUGCUCAAAGCCCCCAACCCCACUGAGCUGCUGGGGAAUGCAGCCAUGCCAAUGGGUCCUCUCCAGCCCUGAGGACGGGUCCUGAUAGGGAGAGCGGGACGCAGCCAUGUCACACCCCGAGGCAGUUAUGAAUGUCAUUCCCCAAUCCACUCAGGAGCCGGCAAUUUUCUGGCCGAGGUGGGAAGCUGCCGACAUCGUAUGAUACACGGCGAGAUUGAUUGUAUUUACUUACCCUUUAACCUAAUAAAGAAAAAUAAUGUUC
ensembl:lncRNA